rnacentral:rRNA from 1 species
GAUGAACGCUGGCGGUAUGCUUAACACAUGCAAGUCGAACGGUCACUUCGGUGAUAGUGGCGGACGGGUGAGUAACGCGUGAGAAUCUGUCUUCAGGUCGGGGACAACAGUUAGAAAUGACUGCUAAUACCGGAUGUGCCUUUGGGUGAAAGAUUUAUUGCCUGAAAAAGAGCUCGCGUCAGAUUAGCUAGUAGGUGGUGUAAGAGACUACCUAGGCUCCGAUCUGUAGCUGGUCUGAGAGGACGAUCAGCCACACUGGAACUGAGACACGGUCCAGACUCCUACGGGAGGCAGCAGUGGGGAAUUUUCCGCAAUGGGCGAAAGCCUGACGGAGCAAGACCGCGUGAGGGACGAAGGCUUUUGGGUCGUAAACCUCUUUUCUCAAGGAAGAUGAGGUCGGUACUUGAGGAAUAAGCAUCGGCUAACUCUGU